CCAGUUGCAGAGCCGACCAGAGGAGUUUUUUCUUUUCUUUUCUUUUUUUUUUUUUAAGGGGGGGGGUCUCAAGUAGGAGGCCUCCCCAUCACCCCCACCCCAGCCCCCCACCACCCCCGGCCUAAGCAGCUACCAUGGCCCAGGUGGCCGGCGCGGCGUUGUCCCAGGCGGGUUGACAGAUCUGAGAACAAUUGGCAAGAAAUUCCUCCCCAGUGACAUCAAUAGUGGAAAGGUAGAAAAGCUCGAAGGUCCAUGUGUUUUGCAAAUUCAAAAAAUUCGCAAUGUUGCUGCACCAAAGGAUAAUGAAGAAUCUCAGGCUGCACCAAGGAUGCUGCGAUUACAGAUGACUGAUGGUCAUAUAAGUUGCACAGCAGUAGAAUUUAGUUAUAUGUCAAAAAUAAGCCUGAACACACCACCUGGAACUAAAGUUAAGCUCUCAGGCAUUGUUGACAUAAAAAAUGGAUUCCUGCUCUUGAAUGACUCUAACACCACAGUUCUUGGUGGUGAAGUGGAACACCUUAUUGAGAAAUGGGAGUUACAGAGAAGCUUAUCAAAACACAAUAGAAGCAAUAUUGGAACUGAAGGUGGACCACCGCCUUUUGUGCCUUUUGGACAGAAGUGUGUAUCUCAUGUCCAAGUGGAUAGCAGAGAACUUGAUCG
rnacentral:lncRNA from 1 species